UCUCUGCCUAUGAGAGCUGUCUCCAGAUGGGGAUAGUCUCAGGGUCAUCCCAGCAGGAAGGGGGAUGGGAUCUUUCAGGUGAUUUUCUCUGAGCUUGAGGGAAUGAGGCAGGGCUGGCAUUGCAAGGCCGAGGCCUUCUGGGUGCCUGAUCUGGUGGUGGCAUGGUGGGAUGCCAGCAAGCAAUCCACAGAGGAUGGCAUUGAGUGCUGUGGUGUGUGGACUUGCAGGUAUGAGGUGUGAAUAGCACAGUUCUUUCUCCCCUUCGUGCUGGUCAUACUCUGCUACCCCCUAAUCUCGAUGCAGGACUUUUAUGAUUCCCAUACAACCAUCUCAUAUCAAAGCCAAGUGGAUAAAACCCCCUCUACAUCAACAUCCCAAGGAAACAUUCAGGCUCUGGUUUGCAUCUGCCUGUGCUCCAGGACGCUGGGAGUUUGUUGAGGAUGGAUCUGCACAUGGGCAUCUCUGCAAAUUGCCUGGGAAACGAUCUACUAUGGGGAAACGCUGCAGCAACUUUUGAGAAGAAUGGCAACGCUAAAACCCAAAGACUUUUCCUAGCAGUGUGCCCCUCUGCUUAGCAGGACAUGCAGCAUAAAUGAGGGGUCUGAUUCUGGGACUUGCAGGCUGUGUUCUCUUGUAUGCCAGAGAUCCUCCUGACCUAAGAGUGGAGGAUUUGGCCCUGUGCUGUGCAGUGCUCUCUGAAAGGCUUGUAUGUUUGUAGGAUGUUUGAGCAGCGCCUGGUGGGCUUUGCUGUACUCCAUCACCAGUUUUCUCUUGGCUUCACUGUAGUUUUCUAAAAGGAAAACAUCUUUUUAAGAGAUUCUUGGCUGUGGCGUUGACCCCCAAAACUAAUAUGUUCCCUCUGGUUGCUGAGAUUGCUGUAAGCUGGUAGAUGAACAGUGGGUAAGGGAGGAAGCUCUGAAUGGACUGAGAACAGUCACCUAACCCUCCCGUCCUCAGGAUGUGACUCAUUAAAGCCAUGAGGCUUGGGUAAGAGAAAAUUCAGGGAUGGGGAUGGGGAAAAUGCAAACUGCAUCAGAGGCUUGAGCAAACCAUUUGAGACCUGGUAUGAUUGAGUCACACUGCAGGGAGGUAAGAGUCUGUCACACGUGCCCACUGUAGAGAGUAUGCACAAACCGCAACAGCUGGCUGCAGCAUAUGGAGCAUCCAGAAGGGAACAAAGCUGAAAUAAUUCCCUUUCCUCUGCUCUCUGCUUAUUCCAGCCCUGACUCAGGAGAGCACUGGGGGGACAGUUCUCAUCUUUUGGCCUGUACUUCAGGUCCCACCGAUUUCCACGAUAUAUCGAGUUUUGAUUUCACUAUUGACUUAACGAGUUUUCUGUACAGGCACUUGUGCCUGAGUGCUUUUAGGGUACCGCAUCCCUUAAUCACAGACCCCAGGAAGGCUCUGUCUCCACAGCAACUGGUACUGUCUCCUCGGUGGAGCUCAGAAAGGGUCCAGCAUGCAGGCAUCCACCCUUGGUCCUGGACAGGAGAGGGUCUGUAGAUGUGUCUUCAUGAAGCAGGCAGUGAAGAAACACAGGAUGAAGAUGUCUUGUCACGGUUGGCUAAUGGGCCACUUCUCGGGUGAAGGCAUUUUUACUUUCCUUUGGAAUUGAUCCAGUUUUUGGUUUUAAAAUCAAAUGUCUUCCCUCAUCUGCAUGCUACACAUGUGGGAAUAGCUGCCCAGGAAAUGGAGGCGAUAGGCUUCUUGAGCCUUCAGAGAAUCAGAGCUUUUCUGUUCUUAAAUGCUUUUCCCCCAUCUCCAUCAGGAGAUGCAGGGGCUGAAGGGCACAAGUGGAUAAUUGCAUCCCACAGCAGUGCAGUGACAGCAGAAAGGAGUUGUGGUGUAAGCAACUGAUACAUACGUGUGUGUGUGUAAAAAUGAGAACGCAGCAUAAGCGAUCUCACCUAUCCCUUCUGGCUUUAAUACCCGAGAGGGUGAUUAUCAGCUGCUCUUACACAGCAAUGCAAUGGUGGGAUUGGGCUGUGCCUGUUAGCAACCUGUAACAGAAGAGGAAUUCACAGGAAAGCUGCUUGCUUUUUGUUUAAAAUCAUUCUCUGUGUGUGCACCUAAGUGUGUGUAUGGGUUGUGCACUUGCCUCAGCAUUUUUGGGUGGGCUGUGAAGCAAAUUUCCCAAGCAGUCUGCACCUCCUGCUAUGCAAAAGCUGGCCAGAACAUUUGUUAGGUUAGUAAAAUGCAUCUUUUGGUACCCUUUAAGUAACUGCCUCAUCUUACAUAAAAAGGUCUGUUUGUGAUUUGUAAGACUCUGUCAAUCUGUUGGCUCCUCUGAUAUCCUAAGCCUAUUAGUUCUCCACCCAUCCACAAAAUUUUCCAGGAGAAAACAGGAGACAAAAACUGAAUCUCUAAUAGAAGAGACAAAAGAAACCAACAAGCAGGAACCAAAAUAAUCAACUAAAAAAUAAAUAAAUAAAAAGAAAAAACACUAAAACAAAACCUAGCCCAAAGGUUCUGGGCUCUGUUUUGGAUGCAACAAGACAGGCUACAAAAAUACAGCAGUGCUUCCCCUGCACCUCCCUUUUAAACAGAGCACACCUAAUCUCUAUCAAGCUCCCCUGAGGAUGGACGGGGAUUGUACCCUGUAAGCAGCUUGUGAGCCCACAGGCAGCCCUCCCUGGAGAAGCAGCCUGAAAUGAGUUGGAGCAGCCGUACUGCAUGGUCAUUUAGAGCUGGUGAGUGCUGCUGUUUGGGCUCCUGUGACCGUAGCCCCUAGCUCUCUCUGUGCUGUUGUUGAGCAAAGGCCAAAAGAUGCAAGAAGAAACAGAAGCAGAGACAGGAAGGAAUUUUUCAGCAGACCUCAUCACUGGCGUUACAUCUUUCUCAGCUCACAGGCAAAAGCAUAGCCUUGCUAUUACCUGCUGUUCUCAGAGGUGCAUUUUGGUCUUGUUCAAAUAGUCAUUCUGCAGCAUUUUUUAAUAUGGUCUUCAUAAGUCUUUAAUGCUAACAUAAAAAAGAUAAUGAAAACAGGCAAACAGACAAAUCACAUUGCCUAGUGCUCUGCUUCAUCACUGAUAAAGCAGCCCCCCUCCCCAACCCCUGCAAGAUUUUGACUUUGCACACUGCUGGUCACUUGAAGUUUAAUUUAUGAAAAGGAGAAAAAAUAAGUUGCUAUCACAGCACCCAAGCGUAGAAAGAAAGGAAAAGCCUCUGUGCAUUCUGCAUGGGGCUGUGCAAGCAGGUCAUAAUGUGAUUUCUUUCGUUACAGCCCUAAACCUGCCUUCCAGUUUGAUUGCAGAGCUCAGAAAUAUUUUUGCAUUUGAUAAUGUCUCUGUUUGGCUCAGCCACAACUUCCUGCUUUGUGCCGCUUUCCUUCUGCGGUGUUUUUGGGGCUGGGUAGUGGAACUCUGUCCCUGUCAAUGCUGUUUGCAUUGUCCCUGUUGAUAAUUACCUGUAUCACAGUAGUUAUUAGAGGCCCCAACUGUUAGGGACUCGGUGCGUGUACGAGGCAAUCUCUGCCUGAGGAGCUUAAGGUCUAAAUAGGCAAGGCAGAUAGAGGAAGUGUUAUCAGUCUUAUUUUUACAGAGAGCUUAAAUGACCUGCCGAAGGUCACCCAGGGAGUCUGCGGUGAAAUCAUGACUGGAAUACAGAUCUUCCAUGUUUUAUUCAAGCAUCUAACCCAGGUUCCUGGCUGAGGCACUGGUUUGCGAGGAUGCUCUGUGUGUGUAUGUCAGGGAGCAAUUCUGGGUCGUGCAGUGGAUUUGCAUGUGCCCUACUGCUCCUGGCACAUCCCUGAGGAGCUUUGGGUGCUGUAGCAAAUGUAUGGGUAGCAAGCAGCAGCUGCACACACACGAGAUGCGUGCUCACCUGGAAUGCACAUCUCAGCGUAGUUCAAGGACAGAGCCCUCAACAAGGUGGCAGGAGUUAUUCGCCUUCUUACUGAAGCUUUCACUGUUUCUGACUAUGCUACGAGAACGUCAGUGCUUGAGAAAUGUAAGGGAGGGUGGUUGAGCUAAACACAGCAAAAACCUUUCUGGUUUUGGGGCUGAUGAGUGCAGUCCUGUGGCUGCUGUGCCUAGUUGGAUGGGUCUCAAUCUUCAGAAGCCACUAAGAACCUUGAACUGCACGAAAGCCAGCACUUCAAAAUGUUGUCACAAAAUACACACUUAAAAUAAAAAAGGUUGUGAGGUAGCAUCCACCAAGAAAAGCAACUGCCCUGCGGAGCUUCCUUCUGCUAGAAUCAUUGGUGAAGGACUGGAGAAAAAUGGUAAUCCUUCCUCUAAUUCCCUUUUGUAAGGUGAGGAAGUUCCCUGGGCUGCCCCCUGCUAUACCCAAGGGUGAGGAAAUGGCUUCUCCUGUGCUGGUUGAUCAGUGCCACGCAGAGGUCUUCUGUCUUUGUGUUUGGCUGUAGGAAUGCCUUACAAUAGUUUUGAUUGUAAUUUCCUGGAAACUAGGUACAGGUGGAAGUAAUUUUAUUUUAUAUUUUUUACAGAAUUAGAGCAACCACCUUUCUUAGCUGAUUGUUUUAGAGGACAUUUUAAACUAUUGUUUUCCUUAGCAUUUCUAGUCUACAUUUCCAUUGCCCUCAAGUACAAAAUUCAAUUUUCUUAAGAGUCAAUUUUUAUCUAAAAUAUAAUACUUAUUAGCAGUUUCAAUGCAUUUCAAUGUGUCUUUGUUUUGUAAAAUUAUUUCAUAAAACUCUUUACAUGUAUAAUUGAAAUUGACUUUAAUUUGAAAC